rnacentral:rRNA from 1 species
GCAAGUCGAACGAGAAAGUCCUUCGGGGCGAGUAUAGUGGCGCACGGGUGAGGAACGCGUAGGUAAUCUACCCUCAGGCGGGGGACAACAUUCCGAAAGGAAUGCUAAUACCGCGUAAGACCACGCCCACUACGGUGGAGGUGGUAAAAGGUGCCUCAAAGCACCACCAAAGGAUGAGCCUGCGUCCCAUCAGCUUGUUGGUAAGGUAAUGGCUUACCAAGGCUAAGACGGGUAGCUGGUCUGAGAGGAUGAUC